rnacentral:tRNA from 1 species
CGUUCCAUGGCCGAACUGGUCAAGGCAUUGCCGAUUCAUUAGAGGCGAAGAUGCGGGUUCGAAUCCCACUGGAACGG